rnacentral:rRNA from 1 species
AGCGAACGCUGGCGGCAGGCUUAACACAUGCAAGUCGAGCGGGCAUCCUUGUGGUGUCAGCGGCAGACGGGUGAGUAACGCGUGGGAACGUGCCCUUCGUUUCGGAAUAACUCAGGGAAACUUGAGCUAAUACCGGAUACGUGCGAGAGCAGAAAGGUUUAUCUGCCGAAGGAUCGGCCCGCGUCUGAUUAGCUAGUUGGUGAGGUUACGGCUCACCAAGGCGACGAUCAGUAGCUGGUCUGAGAGGAUGAUCAGCCACACUGGGACUGAGACACGGCCCAGACUCCUACGGGAGGCAGCAGUGGGGAAUAUUGGACAAUGGGGGCAACCCUGAUCCAGCCAUGCCGCGUGAGUGAUGACGGCCUUAGGGUUGUAAAGCUCUUUUCUCCGGGACGAUAAUGACGGUACCGGAGGAAUAAGCCCCGGCUAACUUCGU